UAUUGCUAUUGCAAUUGCUAUUCCUUCCACAUCCCCUCCAUUCUUUUUAUAUGCUUACAAAUUCUUAUCUGCUUUUAUUCCUCCACUUUCUUAUUUCUAUCUUUUCUAUCUUUCACUUCAAACACUCACGCAACAAUUCUCUUCACUAUCACCUCACAACAUAAUUGAUACUAGGCUUCAAAUUCGGAUUCUUUCAAAUUAGGAUCUCAAUUCAUCAAAUUACUAGGAUGCUGCUACAUGCUACAUGUAAUAAUUUCUUCUGCCAUAUGUAUAGAUAAAAUAGGUUACCCAGAUAAAAUGUAAGUGUAACACAAUCCAACUGUACCGCACUCACUACUCACAAUAGAUUAACGCCUCUUUGUAGUUUCAUGAUUCUUGGAAGCUCACCGUACCUGAGUUCUACUUUCUCUGCUCAUUUUUUUUAGGUUUUUAUUUGGAUGUAAAUAGUUUGUACUUGGUAGGUAAUUGGUGAUUCUCUGAAUUUCCUGCCGGAAAAUUAAGGAGACUAGUGUUAGUUUUGGUGCGGAGGAGGGGAAAACUGAGAUUUGGAUUCGGAUCAGGUUGGGAUUGCGUUUGGUUGUUUAAAAUUUCGAUAUGAAUUUCAAGAGCUUCGGGAAUGAAGCUGGCGGCGGCGGUGGCGACGGAGGAGGGAGGCCGGUGGGGAACUUCUCCCUCACGCGGCAGCCGUCGGUGUACUCGCUGACGUUCGACGAGUUCAUGAACAGCAUGGGAGGUUCGGGGAAGGACUUUGGCUCCAUGAACAUGGACGAGUUGCUCAAGAACAUUUGGACGGCGGAGGAGGUUCAUACAAUGGCUUCGGCGGGCGUUGCCACCGAGGACGUAGGAGCCGGCGUCAGCCAUUUGCAGCGGCAGGGGUCGCUGACGCUGCCGCGGACUCUGAGCCAGAAGACAGUGGAUGAGGUUUGGAAGGACAUUUCGAAGGAUUACGGUGGGCACGGCGGGCCCAAUCUUGCACAGACGCCGAGACAGCCCACUCUGGGAGAGAUGACUUUGGAGGAGUUUCUGGUCAGAGCUGGUGUUGUUAGGGAAGAUGCGAAGCCAAACGAUGCCGUUUUCAUGGAUCUGGCUCGUGCAGGGAAUAACAACGGUUUGGGGUUUGGGUUCCAGCAGAUGAACAAGGUUUCUACUGCUACCGGUUUGAUGGGUAACCGGUUGAACAAUGACCCACUGGUGGGUCUUCAGUCUUCUGCCAAUUUGCCUUUGAAUGUUAAUGGGGUGAGAUCAUCCGGUCAGCAGCCACAGAUGCAGAGUCCACAGUCUCAGCAACAGCAUCAGCAGCAGAUAUUUCCUAAGCAGAGUCCUAUGUCCUAUGCAGCUGCUCAGAUGCCCCAGGGAAUGGUGAGGGGUGGGAUUGUGGGACUCGGUGGUGAUCAGGGUUUGAGCGUGCAAGCUGGAGGGAUUGGUAUGGUUGGUUUGGCACCUGGGUCAGUUCAUGUUGCUACUGGGUCUCCUGCUGCUAACCAAAUAUCCAGUGAUAAGAUGACCAAGAGCAAUGGUGAUACCUCGUCUGUCUCACCGGUGCCUUAUGUCUUUAACGGAGGUAUGCGAGGGAGGAAGAGUGGAGGAGCUGUGGAGAAGGUGAUUGAGAGGAGGCAGAGAAGGAUGAUAAAGAACAGAGAGUCAGCUGCCAGGUCACGGGCACGCAAGCAGAUUAUGCAGCAGAAUGGUAAUAUGAUAGCGAUCUGAUCUGAUGAAAGGUGAAAGAUUUUGAGAAGUUACAAUCAUGAGAAGUUGUAAAGAUCCAGGUUAUUACAAGGCUUAUACUAUGGAAUUGGAAGCAGAAGUUGCAAAGUUAAAAGAGGAGAACCAGGAACUUCUGAAAAAACAGGCUGAAAUCAUGGAAAUUCAGAAAAAUCAAGUUAAGGAAAUGAUGAAUUUGCAACGAGAAGUCAAGAGAAGACGCCUGAGACGAACACAAACUGGUCCGUGGUAGAGUGAAGAUUGUACUAUGACUCUACCGUUAAAAUAUAUGUACAUAAUUAUAAAAACGUAUUCUGUUGUAGAUCGAGGCUCUGGUAGUUUUUAGAUUAGCACUUGGAAACUUUCACGUCUUACUUCUCUUUUGAACACGUUAGGAAGGGUAUGCAUAGUAUCAGGAGAAUAUGUUUCAGCACACAUCCAAUUUCAUGUCACCAUUGGUUAGACAAUCUUGUGAAGUAGCACUUUUCCUGGAUUUUAUUUGGUGAGAUUGCGUGUCCAAUAUAUGCACUUCUCUUCAUUCACCA